AGAUAAACCAAAGAAGCUUAGUUAAUCACACUCUAAUCUACUUAAGUACUACUAUAAUCUUUUCAGCCCAGCUUCCAGAUAUCACUCUCACCUCUCGCCGGCGAUCUCCCUCUCACCUCUCGCACAACGGAUUUCCGUCGGCAGCAAAUAUGGCUCCACCAAAAUCAGUUCGUUCAAUAUCUCAGCAAGCCUUCGAUGAAUUGGUGAAGGAAAAUAUUGAAGAUCUUGGAAUGGAUUCCACUGAAGCUCUUGAAGACGCUAUUCAAACCCUAACACUCCAAGGCGUUGAUCUCUCUGGGAUUGUGACUAGCAUUUUGGGUUCUGGGGAAGAAAAUCCAGUAAUUCAAUCACUUGAGAAGCUGAAGGAAUUGGAUCGUGAUUGUAAGCAGGGAGACGGGGAUGAGACUGAUGUGAAGGAAAUUAUUGAAUGGUUAGAUAAAUUGAAUGAUGCUUGUCAUGUUGAUGGAUCAGGAAAUGCUGCUAUAGCAACUAAGAACGGUGCUAUAGAAUUGGUGUGUUCGAUAUGCGGUAAACUUGGGAGCGAGGGCCUUGUUUCAGCUCUGAAGACAUUGGUUUCUUUACUUCAUGAUCUACAGAGCACUGAAAUAUUUAGGGAGAUUAAAGGUCCAAAGAUGGUUAUGAAUAUCCUAAACAAUAGGAAAGAAAACAUAAGUAUCUUGAACAGUGGAUUCGCUGUUGUUUCUGCCGCUGCAACUGGGAAUGAGGUCCUCAAGGAGGCAUUUAUGAACUUGAAAAUUGAUGAGCUGAUUCUUCAAUGUCUAAGAGAAUUUAGUAGGGGGAGCAUUCCUUGUUUAUAUGAUGCUGUACAUGUCCUGCUAACCUCUGAUGAUAAUCGUGUGGUGGCCUCUGAAGUAAGUGAACAUUUAUAGUAGUUAUUGUUAUUUGAUGUUAAUUGCUCAUCAAAAUCAGAAUUCUGAUACAGGUGGAAUAACUCACAUGGACAGAGUAACGCAACGUAUUUUGUUCCAUAAUAAGUUUCAGAUCAUGCUAAUUUUUUU
rnacentral:misc_RNA from 1 species